UGCCAGCCGCCGCGGUAAUACCGGCAGCCCGAGUGAUGACCGAUCUUAUUGGGCCUAAAGCGUCCGUAGCUGGCCGGGGAAGUCCGUCGGGAAAUCCACUCGCUCAACGAGUGGGCGUCCGGCGGAAACUCUCCGGCUUGGGACCGGAAGACCGAAGGGGUACGUCCGGGGUGGAGUGAAAUCCUGUAAUCCUGGACGGACCACCGGUGGCGAAAGCGCCUUCGGAAGACGGAUCCGACAGUGAGGGACGAAAGCUAGGGUCUCGAACCGGAUUAGAUA
rnacentral:rRNA from 1 species